CGCAGUGAAGUAAAGAGAUAGAGCUGCAAUGUCGCUUUCAAGAUUCAGCUUGACUACACGUGAGGAGUAACUGUUCGGCUUGCUGUUCAGUUGCUUUACUUGCGGCAGUUGGGCGCAUUUUUUGGAAGUGAGCACUGUGUCCGUUAUCUGUGCCGGUAAAACCUUGCUUGAGUGAGGACAGGCCAAUUCGGAAUCUGUUCCCCAUCUCGUAUAGGCUACCUGGUUGCGGAAAAUGUCAUAUUUCUUUGAACUGGCUUGUCGCAGACGAUAUGACAAGGUGUUGGAUAGUUUUUCCUAGUUUUCUGCUUGCAGGAUCUGGGAUAUCCGGUGCUUAUGUUAUAUUUCCCUGCAUUAGUUCAAAGUGUCCACGGUGUAUGUGUCAGCCACCUAUCUCUCCCGUCUUGAAACACGGACCAAGGAGUCUAACAUGUUCGCGAGUCAUUGGGUGCCAAACUCAAAGGCGUAAUGAAAGUAAGCUUCACUUGUGGAGUGAUGUACGAUCUUUUCUUCGGAAAAGCGCAGUACUGUCCUGUCUUAUGUGCAUUGUCAUUGAGGCAGCGAAAGAGCGUACAUGUUGGGACCCGAAAGAUGGUGAACUAUGCCUGAGCAGGAUGAASCCAGAGGAAACUCUGGUGGAGGUCCGUAGCGAUUCUGACG
rnacentral:rRNA from 1 species